rnacentral:rRNA from 1 species
GCAUAACGCGAAGAACCUUACCUGGCCUUGACAUGCACGGAAGCUUCCAGAGAUGGGAGUGUGCCUUCGGGAACCGUGACACAGGUGCUGCAUGGCUGUCGUCAGCUCGUGUCGUGAGAUGUUGGGUUAAGUCCCGCAACGAGCGCAACCCUUGUCCUUAGUUGCCAGCACGUAAUGGUGGGAACUCUAGGGAGACCGCCGAUGACAAAUCGGAGGAAGGUGGGAUGACGUCAAGUCAUCAUGGCCCUUACGGCCAGGGCUACACACGUACUACAAUGGCAGGUACAGAGGGAAGCCAACCAGCAAUGGGGAGCCAAUCCCAGAAAGCCUGUCUUAGUCCGGAUUGUAGGCUGCAACUCGCCUACAUGAAGCCGGAGUUGCUAGUAACCGCCGGUCAGCAUACGGCGGUGAAUAUGUUCCCGGGUCUUGUACACACCG